AUUGAACGCUGGCGGCAUGCCUUACACAUGCAAGUCGAACGACAGCACGGGAGCAAUCCUGGUGGCGAGUGGCGAACGGGUGAGUAAUAUAUCGGAACGUGCCCAGUCUGGGGNUAACGUAGCGAAAGCUACGCUAAUACCGCAUACGAUCUAUGGAUGAAAGCGGGGGAUCGCAGACCUCGCGCGAUUGGAGCGGCCGAUAUCAGAUUAGGUAGUUGGUGAGGUAAAGGCUCACCAAAGCCGACGAGUCUGUAGCUGGUCUCGAGAGGACGACCAGCCAC
rnacentral:rRNA from 1 species